GCAGCAGAGGGCAGACUGUGAAGUCAGUGAUGCUGCAUACUUUGUGGAUCGGUUCACCAAACUGCUUCCAUAUCAUGAACCCCAAGACCAAGACCAACUUGCAGAGGAGUUUCAGGACUACCAGUUAAUGGAGGUCCCAAUGCCCGAACACCAAACGGAAUUUGACGUUGAGGCUUUCUGGGAAGGCAUGAGUUCACUUAAGAAUAGGGUGACUGGAAUGAGCAGAUUUCCCAGGCUGUCUGCAAUUGCCAAAUUAGUUUUAAUUCUCCCCCACUCCAAUGCAGAUGCUGAGAG